UACGUAGGGACCGAGCGUUGUCCGGAAUCAUUGGGCGUAAAGAGCGUGUAGGCGGCCUUUUAAGUCCUGCGUGAAAUCCUGCGGCUCAACCGCAGACGGUCGUGGGAAACUGGAAGGCUAGAGUGCGGGAGAGGAGAGUGGAAUUCCCGGUGUAGCGGUGAAAUGCGCAGAUAUCAGGAGGAACACCGGUGGCGAAGGCGGGUCUCUGGGCCGUAACUGACGCUGAGGAGCGAAAGCAUGGGGAGCGAACAGG
rnacentral:rRNA from 1 species